rnacentral:rRNA from 1 species
GACGUAGGGGGCAAGCGUUGUCCGGAUUUAUUGGGCGUAAAGGGCGUGUAGGCGGCCAAGCAGGUCUGCUGUGAAAACUCGAGGCUCAACCUCGAGACGUCGGUGGAAACCGUUUGGCUAGAGUCCGGAAGAGGAGAGUGGAAUUCCCGGUGUAGCGGUGAAAUGCGCAGAUAUCGGGAAGAACACCCGUGGCGAAGGCGGCUCUCUGGGACGGUACUGACGCUGAGACGCGAAAGCGUGGGGAGCGAACAGG